ACGGGAGGCAGCAGUGGGGAAUAUUGCACAAUGGGGGAAACCCUGAUGCAGCGACGCCGCGUGAGCGAAGAAGUAUUUCGGUAUGUAAAGCUCUAUCAGCAGGGAAGAAAAUGACGGUACCUGACUAAGAAGCCCCGGCUAACUACGUGCCAGCAGCCGCGGUAAUACGUAGGGGGCAAGCGUUAUCCGGAUUUACUGGGUGUAAAGGGAGCGUAGACGGCAUGGCAAGUCUGAAGUGAAAGCUCGCGGCUCAACCGCGGAACUGCUUUGGAAACUGUCAAGCUAGAGUGCCGGAGGGGUAAGCGGAAUUCCUAGUGUAGCGGUGAAAUGCGUAGAUAUUAGGAAGAACACCGGUGGCGAAGGCGGCUUACUGGACGGUAACUGACGUUGAGGCUCGAAAGCGUGGGGAGCAAACAGGAUUAGAUACCCUGGUA
rnacentral:rRNA from 1 species